rnacentral:rRNA from 1 species
AGUAUCAGUUAAUUACUUGAAAUCUAAGAUAUAUGGCGGUGUUUUAUCUAUUCAGAGGAACCUGUUUCGUAAUUGAUAGUCCACGAUUUAAUUUACUUUAAAUUAUUAGCUUGUAUAUCGUUGUGAUGGAUUAUUUUAUUAAAAUUAUAAAUGGUCAAUAUUUUUAAUUAAACUUAAAUCAAAUCAAGAUGCAGCUUAUAUUGAAGAGUUUAAUGGGUUACAUUAAAUUUAUUUUUGGUUUAUUAUUUUUGAUUUUAGUAAUAAAUUGGAUUUGAAAGUAAUAAUAUUUAAAUAUUUUUUAUAUUUAGACCUAAAACAUGC